rnacentral:rRNA from 1 species
GGACCAAGGAGUCUAACAUGUGCGCGAGUCAAUGGGACUAUUGAAUCCUAAAGGCGAAAUGAAAGUGAAUUUCGAGCUUCGUGCUCAAUGUAGGGAAGAUGGGUGUUUUGUCACCUCGCAUUCCCGGGGCGUCUCGUUCUCAUUGCGAGAUGAGGCGCACCUAGAGCGUACAUGUUGGGACCC